rnacentral:rRNA from 1 species
AAAUGUGGAGCCGUAGCGAAAGCGAGUCUGAAUAGGGCGUUGAGUAUUUGGUCGUAGACCCGAAACCAGGUGAUCUACCCAUGGUCAGGUUGAAGUUCAGGUAACACUGAAUGGAGGACCGAACCGACUUACGUUGAAAAGUGAGCGGAUGAACUGUGGGUAGCGGAGAAAUUCCAAUCGAACUUGGAGAUAGCUGGUUCUCUCCGAAAUAGCUUUAGGGCUAGCCUCAAGUGAUGAUUAUUGGAGGUAGAGCACUGUUUGGACGAGGGGCCCC